CCAGGGGGGGGGCCAGGAGCGCGGUGGAGGCGCUUGGUCACGCCCCGUGCACUCUGCUCAGAGAAAGACAGCCAUGGGACUGGAGACUAGGGCAGGGUCCUAGAGGGAAAGUGGCAGGUUUCUGAGCCAGGAGAGAUGCUUUCGUCGGGAAGAACCCAUCAGAGACACCGUCCAGGCCAAGGAAGCAUCGAGCAGGGGCUCAGCCCUGCUGGGCCUCCCUGAGGAUGAUGACAGGAGGGGCUCCUUCGGAAGGGGAAAUUUGGGCAGGGACACGCACUCAGGGAGAACACCAUGGGAGGGUGAAGAGUGGGACUUGAACUUCCAGCCUCCGGACAUGGGAGACAACACAAAGAAAAGAAAGAAACUGUGGCGACCAGUUCUCAGCAUCUCCUGAAUCAGUCAAAUGAGAAAUAGACUGGAAGCAGCCACCUGGGAGGGCAGCAGAAUCUCCAAGAAGACGACCACCACGAAGUUUGUGUGGUGGCAGGCGGAGGUCAAGCCUCCCACCUCGGCCCCAGGCUGCCCCACCUCGUGGGUCUCUCUGGGACAGACAGAAAGACAGGACGUCUGCACGCUGCCCCCAGAGGGCGGCAUUCCAUACCCAUGCCCUCAUUUCACUUGGAAGUGGCCCCAGGAAGUAUUAUUAUUGUCUCCAUAUCACAGAUGAGGAAACUGAGGCCCAACUGUUUACCCGUGGCCAAGGAGCAGCCUCCUGCGGAGAGGUGGAGCCAGGUCCCCCAAAUGUGCCUUUUCCAUUGUGACCCCAUUUAACGUUCUUCAGCCGGACGCGGGCCAAGGCUUAAAGCCCUUCACUCAGUGGCUCUCCUUGGAUAUCCUGUGUCCUUCUGGUAGCCCCUGUGACCUCGGACGGGCCACGCGGCUCAUAUCCCUUUUGGCCCAUAGAUGC